GCCGCCUUAGCUCAGGAGGUAGAGCGCAGCCGUGGUAAGGCUGAGGUGGCUGGUUCAAGUCCAGCAGGCGGCA
rfam:Lactobacillus thailandensis DSM 22698 = JCM 13996 strain DSM 22698 Scaffold2, whole genome shotgun sequence.